rnacentral:snRNA from 1 species
GUGAUUGGGGCAUCUGGCUGUGCCAUCGGUCACCCCAUUGAUGGCCAAGGUUGAUUUGGCUGAUCUGUCUGGCCAGGCGGGUAUACCCUUUCUCCCUCACCGCUCCAUGAGCAUACCUCUGGGAACUGCGUGCUUGGUUGAAGAGGACGACCAUCCCUGAUAGAGGAGGACUGGUCUUAGGUCAAAGGUACACGAGUAGCUGCACACCCCUGCUAGAACCUCCAAACAAGCUCUCAAGGGCAAUAAAAUAUUUUUAAACUAAGUCAUGUACAUUGUUUUUUAGACAUAAUGCUACUGUAUAUUUAAUAGA